rnacentral:lncRNA from 1 species
UUUGGGCCCCAUCUUCCCUCUUUCAGGCUCGUAUCACAGAAUCAUGGCUGUAAUGGAUGCAGCAUCCCAAGCCUUUCCAUCGACUCUGGCACAUACUCAGUGGAGCCCUUCCAUCUGCUUGAGAGCAGUGAAGAUUUUACAUCAGAAAACAGGACUCUGUGUGAUUGUGCUGAUACCAAUGGCUUUUCAGAGGAAGAUCUCCUGAAUGUAACGUUUGAAGCGUGUGACACUGCUGGCAAAGGAGAGGUUCAGGCCUCCACUGUGGUGCAGUAUCUUCAGUCCAUGACGUUCCAAAGCUCCGGCCAGGACAAGCUGACCAAUUUACGACAGAUGCUGGACCCAGAGAACCAGGAUCCACCUGUUAGUAGAGAUAC